GUGGGUUUUUUCAGAGUGCCUGUGCGUGACUGAGCUGUUCUAUAAUUUCCAGAAACCAGAGGCGUUGAGAGAAGCGGAGUGGGGAGAGGAAGGAACAGUGAUAAGAAACCGCAGUUUGAGGUUCAGUAAUGUGAUAUCCAGUUACCCAAGUGAGCCAUGGAUACCAGUAAGAAACACAGAGGAGCCUACCUCGCCGCACCCCUUUGUUGUCCCUGAAUUGGAUCAGAAGAGUUUCAACCAUAUCACAUCUGGGGCUGGUGCUAACAUCUGUCUCUGAGAAUGUGCUGGCUGUGACAACUCACUAUUCAUGUGACGAGAUCCAAACUCUUCAUAGCAAGCCAGACACAGGUGCUAUCACUGGAAAAUUUUUCUAUUAUCCAAUUCUUCCAUAUGCUUUCCAAGGGGAAAUAAACUAGUUUCAGGU
ensembl:lncRNA